rnacentral:rRNA from 1 species
GAAGAGAACUGGAAAGUUCCACCGUAGAAGGUAAUAGUCCUGUAAGUGAAACGAGAAGACCACGAGUUAUGAUCCAGAGUACCACGAGACACGUGAAACCUUGUGGGAAGCAGGGAGGACCACCUCCCAAGGCUAAAUACUACCUGAUGACCGAUAGUGAAGCAGUACCGUGAGGGAAAGGUGAAAAGAACCCCGGGAGGGGAGUGAAAUAGAACCUGAAACCGUGUGCCUACAACCGCUCAGAGCCCCUUAUGAGGGUGAUGAGGUGCUUUUUGUAGAACGAGCCAACGAGUUACGGUAUGUAGCAAGGUUAAGUACUUAAGGUACGGAGCCGAAGGGAAACCGAGUCUGAAUAGGGCGACUAGUUGCAUGCCGUAGACCCGAAACCGGGUGACCUAUCCAUGGCCAGGUUGAAGCGAGGGUAAAACCUCGUGGAGGACCGAACCACGUUGCUGUUGAAAAAGCAUGGGAUGAGCUGUGGAUAGCGGAGAAAUUCCAAUCGAACCCGGAGAUAGCUGGUUCUCUCCGAAAUAGCUUUAGGGCUAGCGUCGAGUAUGAGUAGUGGAGGUAGAGCACUGAAUGGGCUAGGGGGCAUAGCGCUUACCGAACCUUAUCAAACUCC